GACGCCAUGGCCCAAUGGAUAAGGCGCUGGCCUGCAGAACCAGAGGCUCUGGGUUCGACCCCUGGUGGAAUCG
rfam:Gossypium arboreum cultivar AKA8401 contig_5351_1, whole genome shotgun sequence.